AGGUUCUACAUGUUGUGAUUUGUGAGCCCCUGCUUGAUUCUCCAUCAGUGCUUUCUAGAACAAGGAAGAACACACCUGCCAUACACUUGGCCGUGCCUUGAUACCAGCCUUGCAGACCACCUAGACCAUCAUCCUGGUUAUUCUUCUGCAAAAUACUACUGAAAAAGCAGUUACACGUGAGAGUUUGAACUUUCCUAUAAAAAAAUGUAUGUGUAAGCUCUG